rnacentral:rRNA from 1 species
GAUGAACGCUAGCGGCAGGCUUAAUACAUGCAAGUCGUGGGGCAGCAUGAGUAGCAAUACUUGAUGGCGACCGGCAAACGGGUGCGGAACACGUACACAACCUUCCGAUAAGUGGGGAAUAGCCCAGAGAAAUUUGGAUUAAUACCCCGUAACAUAUAGAGUAGGCAUCUUCUUUAUAUUAUAGCUUCGGCGCUUAUUGAUGGGUGUGCGUCUGAUUAGGUAGUUGGCGGGGUAACGGCCCACCAAGCCUACGAUCAGUAGCUGAUGUGAGAGCAUGGUCACCACAACGGGCACUGAGAAACGGGCCCGACUCCUACGGGAGGCAGCAGUAAGGAAUAUUGGACAAUGGGCGAAAGCCUGAUCCAGCCAUGCCGCGUGAAGGAUUAAGGUCCUCUGGAUUGUAAACUUCUUUUAUUUGGGACGAAAAAAGGGAAUUCUUUCCCACUUGACGGUACCAAGUGAAUAAGCACCGGCUAACUCCGUGCCAGCCGCCGCCGUAAUAC